rnacentral:rRNA from 1 species
CCUACGGGUGGCAGCAGUGAGGAAUAUUGGUCAAUGGACGAGAGUCUGAACCAGCCAAGUAGCGUGAAGGAUGACUGCCCUAUGGGUUGUAAACUUCUUUUAUAUGGGAAUAAAACGUUCCACGUGUGGGAUUUUGUAUGUACCAUAUGAAUAAGGAUCGGCUAACUUCGUGCCAGCAGCCGCGGUAAUACGGAGGAUCCGAGCGUUAUCCGGAUUUAUUGGGUUUAAAGGGAGCGUAGGUGGAUUGUUAAGUCAGUUGUGAAAGUUUGCGGCUCAACCGUAAAAUUGCAGUUGAAACUGGCAGUCUUGAGUACAGUAGAGGUGGGCGGAAGUCGUGGUGUAGCGGUGAAAUGCUUAGAUAUCACGAAGAACUCCGAUUGCGAAGGCAGUUCACUGGACUGUAACUGACACUGAGGCUCGAAAGUGUGGGUAUCAAACAGGAUUAGAUACCCUUGUAGUC